rnacentral:rRNA from 1 species
UAGGGAAUCUUCGGCAAUGGACGAAAGUCUGACCGAGCAACGCCGCGUGAGUGAAGAAGGUUUUCGGAUCGUAAAACUCUGUUGUUAGAGAAGAACAAGGACGUUAGUAACUGAACGUCCCCUGACGGUAUCUAACCAGAAAGCCACGGCUAACUACGUGCCAGCAGCCGCGGUAAUACGUAGGUGGCAAGCGUUGUCCGGAUUUAUUGGGCGUAAAGCGAGCGCAGGCGGUUUCUUAAGUCUGAUGUGAAAGCCCCCGGCUCAACCGGGGAAGGUCAUUGGAAGCUGGGAGACUUGAGUGCAGAAGAGGAGGGUGGAAUUCCAUGUGUAGCGGUGAAAUGCGUAGAUAUAUGGAGGAACACCAGUGGCGAAGGCGGCUCUCUGGUCUGUAACUGACGCUGAGGCUCGAAAGCGUGGGGAGCAAACAGG